AGCUUUUUGAAUCUGUGCAGAGAUGUGGUCAGACACCAAACCAUUAGGGUUGAUCAAGCUUCCAACAUAAGUGAAGUU
rnacentral:pre_miRNA from 1 species